rfam:Oryza nivara chromosome 2, whole genome shotgun sequence.
AAAAAAACAAACCCUAAGUUUUCGUGCCAACGUUUAAUUGUCCGUCUUCUAUGAAAUUUUUUUAUAAUUAAUAUUUUCAUUGUUGUUAGAUGAUAAAACAUAAUUAAUACUUUAUGCGUGACUUAUCUUCUUUUAAAUUUUUUUAAUAAUUUUUUCAAAUAAGACGGACGGUUAAACGUUAGACACGGAAACCAAGGUUUAUCUGGAC